rnacentral:rRNA from 1 species
UGAUGGUUUGACGAGAGCUAUGCUGUCUCUUUUGAAUAUUUAAAAAUUAACUUUUAGGUGAAGAGGCCUAAAUUUAUUUAAGGGACAAGAAGACCCUGUUGAGCUUUAGUGAAACUUGUGAGUAUAUUAUCAGCGGCGUAGUUCAAUGCUGGUUGUUAUGUAUUUAUAUAUAAUAAGAGCUCGCGGUUAAUCUUUAGUUGGGGCGACUAAGGAACAAAAAAAGCUUCCUUUAAAUUAAAUACUUUAUUUUAAGUAAAAUGAGAAAAUUUUAAUGCUUUUGUGUUAUUUAGAUCCAAUUUAUUUUGAUUAAAGGAAAAAGUUACCACAGGGAUAACAGCGUAAUCUUUCUGGAGAGAUCUUAUCGAAAGAAGGGUUUGCGACCUCGAUGUUGGACUAAGAUAUCCUAAGGGUGCAGAAGCUCUUAAAGGUUGGUCUGUUCGACCAUUAAAAUCUU